rnacentral:rRNA from 1 species
CGCGUAGGCGGUUUAUUAAGUCGGAUGUGAAAGCCCCGGGCUCAACCUGGGAACUGCAUUCGAUACUGGCAGGCUAGAGUAUGGUAGAGGGAAGUGGAAUUCCGGGUGUAGCGGUGAAAUGCGUAGAUAUCCGGAGGAACAUCAGUGGCGAAGGCGGCUUCCUGGACCAAUACUGACGCUGAGGUGCGAAAGCGUGGGGAGCAAACA